rnacentral:tRNA from 1 species
GGGCGCAUAGCUCAAUCGGCAGAGCAACUGGCUCUUAACCAGUAGGUUGGAGGUUCGAUUCCUCCUGCGCUCA